UUUGUGUUCAAGACUGUUGAAAUGGAUUCCUGAUCCUUUCCCCACUGCAUUGUUACCAGCACAACCAGUAGAUGAAGUCACCGCCACCGGACUGCUCACUCAACCACAGAGAACCACCCAUUCACUGAAGAUGAUCCAUUGGUAUGCAAAUGAUGUAAUGCUACAUUUUUUUCAAAUGUUUUCUGAUGAAGAACAAACUCAUCUACAUUUUGAAUGACCUGAAUUAGGCUUCCCCAGUUUCUGUGUAUCUCCUUCACAGUCACUGUCACCUACAUUAUUUAGAGCUCUAGUACCUGUCAGUCCAACACACCUGAAAACCCUGUAUGACUCCAGCAGCUGUGCAGGAAUCCUCUACACCCAUCUCUCUUCAUUCAUACCUGCUGUGUCUCAGCACUGAAUAUCAAAGGAGCCCUGAUUCAGCACUAGUGUGCAGGAGCACCUGUAUCUGAAGACCCAGAUCCAGUAC
ensembl:lncRNA